AUUGAACGCUGGCGGCAGGCUUAACACAUGCAAGUCGAACGAGUGGCGGACUGGUCAGUAAUGCUUGGGAAUCUAGCUUAUUGACGGGGCUAACUACUGGAAACUGUAGCUAAUACCCCGUACCCUAGGAUGAGCCCAAGUGGGAUUAGGUAGUUGGUCAGUUACAGGCUCACCAAGCCGACGAUCUCUAGCUGGUCUGUGGGGAUGACCAGCAGAAGGCAGGCUAAGAGGCGGCGCAGACUUCUACGUGAGGGAGCAGUGGGGCAGUUUGCGCAAGGGGAGGAACGUGACGUAGACAUGCCGCGUGAAUGAAGAGGGCCGUCGGGUUGUAAAGUGCUUUCGGUAGCGAGGCGUUAACUAAAGAAGAAGCACCGGCUAACACCGUGCCAGCAGCCGCGUAAUUC
rnacentral:rRNA from 1 species